ensembl:lncRNA
GAUGAGGAUGAGGAUGGAUGCGUAACAGCAGCAUGAACGCACUAAAACCUAAAGAGACAGCUCUGAGAUCGUAUGAUUUAAUUCAUUUGUUGUGGUUAUUGGAUUUAAUCCUCACUUAAAGACUAGUUCGUUUGUUCCCUCAGAAAUCCUACUAAUAAAAUGCACAUCACAGAAUUAUUGGCGACAUCUCACCUGGUUGAAACUACUUCCAGACACGUUUCCUUCCUGUUCGUAUGUGCAGGUCUAUUCGAUGAGGCGGGGGGAAGAGGGUCCGUGAGUAUCGGUGUAAUGGUCAUGGCAGCUGAGGUUUUCUUCCACAGUCCCACGUCCUCCUGGAAGCAGCAGGUCCGAACCGUCGACGUGCGGAACAGCAGAUCAACCUGCUGAUGGAUGGACGACCCAGAGACACAGAUGGUCCCUGUAAAGUUAAACAAACAUGCGUUUCACACACACCACUCAACUACCAUUUACCAACAAAUUGGAGUUAUCUGCUGGAUUGAUUUUAAUGUAUAACAUUUUUCAUAUUUCAGUCUAGACUAAAGGAGCAGGUCAGCA